rnacentral:lncRNA from 1 species
CGCAAAUUCAUCUAAUUUGAAAAAUGGCGAUCAGAUGUUUAAAAUGACAAUAUGCUGUUUCGAUCAUGGGAUUUACACUUCACUGCAAAAUAAAUAUUUGAAAAUCAUAGAUAACUUGUCUGAGCAAAAAUGAUAUAAACUGAACACUGAGUUAAAAAAAUGGCAGUCAUACAACUAAAAUUCACGUGAAAUAGGUCGAUUUCAGCAUGGGUCGAUUUCAGUACGAAACGUGCUAUGUCUUUGCAGACAAGUUGAACAAAAAGUAUGGAUAUAGACUAAUUUACCAACCUGGCUUAUUAAGCAAAUCCCUUUUUCUUUUCCUUUUUCCUUUUUUCUUUUAUUUUUAUAUCUUCUGGAAAAGAACAAAUUAGGGAAAACCUCUUAAAAUCUAGAGUGAUUUUUUAUUGUUAAAUUGGAUGGAACCGCGUGUGGGGAAUAAAUUCCAGCUCGGACGAAAAAUUGGCAGCGGCUCGUUCGGAGAAAUCUAUCUAGGUCUGUUUCUUUUCUUUUCUUUUCUUUUUGUGAUUAUGGUCUUUGAUUAUUCAGUUUGUUUGAUAUAAUUGGCGUAAUUUUUUUAAUUUGUUUUGUAUGUGGCAGGUACUAAUAUACAGACAAAUGAACAGGUUGCCAUUAAGCUGGUGAGCAAAUUGAAAUAAAUAGGUUUUUGUGAAAAUUUUAUUUCCUUAAAUUUGGGAAUAUUUUGUUUCUCUGAACUAUUUACUAAUUGUGCAUUUCUUUGAAUUCGACUUACUGUAGAGAUAUAAUUAAGAAAUUAAGGAUGAUCGACUCUCAUUUCGAUUAUGUUUCCGUAGUUGUGUAAUGGUGUUAGUGAUUUAGAACUAUUCCUUGAUGAGUUUGAUAGUGAUGUUUAUUGUUUAUACUAAUUAAAAAAUAGGUUGAAAGAAAAUUAUACGGUGAUAUGUAAUCUUAUUUCUUAAUUUAUAUAGAUCAAGAGUGGGAGAAUAGAAAUAUAUUUGUAAAAGGAACCUGUUGAAGUCCCAUUCGUGUGAAGUUUUUGUAGGGUAGACUGGAUGCAGUUUCAUACCAUGCAAUUGAAGGUUCUUUUCCAUAUAUAUGAUUUACAUAUCAAGCUUUUGCUGUCAUUAUAUAUGUUAUGUCACUUGGCUGAUUCAUCUUAGUUUAGGUACUUAAAAGCAGGCUGUGGAGGCAGAAAGCUGUUCUUGUAAGCUUUUGAAGUUCUGCUUGGGUAAUAAUAAUACGUGCUGAUUAGAUUCCCAUAUUGUUGUGGCCUAGUUAUCCCUAGUCAGUACAUUGCUAAAGCGCAGUUCGAUACCAACUAUGGGUUUGUUU